rfam:Cricetulus griseus cell line CHO-K1, whole genome shotgun sequence.
ACACAGGCUUUUUGAAAAGCCACCCUCUGUGUACAUUUAUAUUAAU